UUUUUUUUAAUAUAUAUCGUCGUAAUGUGAUCAAAUCGAAUAUCGGAAAACCCAAUGGGUUUCACCCUUAGUUUGAGGGAAUUGGUGUUGUGUACACUUAGUUUGGAGCCAAAGGCAUGUUGUUUGUAAUAGUAGAGAAUGUAAAUUCUUU